rfam:Camelus ferus unplaced genomic scaffold scaffold2578, whole genome shotgun sequence.
GGGGGUAUAACUCAGUGGUAGAACACAUGCCUGGUAUGCACAAGGUCCUGGGUUCAAUUCCCAGUGCCUCCA